UUUUAAGCAAAUGUUUAUUUAUAUCAAAAUACAAAACAUUUCUGAAGCAGAGUAAUGUUACAUGAGGAGCAAUUAAAUACUAAACGUCUUUUCAUCAGUUUAACUUGCAACACUCCCGGGGAACCUUCACUGGCUGCACAUCGCGUCAUUUGAUGUGCCUUCUUUUUUCUCUUUUGUUUGCUUAUUCACUUGUUUGCUCAUUUUGAUUUUUAAUUCAGGAUAUGAACAUGCAGUGUUACUGGGGAUGAGUUGGUUAGUACUUAGCAAGCCUGAAAAUACCAGCGAGUGGAGCCUGGCGUGGUAGCCUGAGCUGAGGCAGGCUGCAGGUUCUCUUCCUAAUUGAGUCUGGGGUGUCACUCCAUUUUUAACUGGCAGGUCUAAGGCCAAAGGGAUCACUGUCAUCAGUAGCCAGGGCAGGCAUUAUUGCUUAGGGUUGUAGAGCAGGCGUGGCUUUGGGGUCAUCUCCAAUGGGGUCUUCUCAGCGGUUUGGGAAGAAGGAGCAGGGAAGUCUAUAGGCACAGA